CAGUCGCCGCGGUAAUACCGAGGGUGCAAGCGUUAAUCGGAAUUACUGGGCGUAAAGCGCGCGUAGGUGGUUUGUUAAGUUGGAUGUGAAAUCCCCGGGCUCAACCUGGGAACUGCAUCCAAAACUGGCAAGCUAGAGUAUGGUAGAGGGUGGUGGAAUUUCCUGUGUAGCGGUGAAAUGCGUAGAUAUAGGAAGGAACACCAGUGGCGAAGGCGACCACCUGGACUGAUACUGACACUGAGGUGCGAAAGCGUGGGGAGCAAACAGGAUUAGAUACCCCUGUAGUCCCUGUCUCUUAUAA
rnacentral:rRNA from 1 species